AGGGUCACAUCGUGCUUUGUAUACUAGGACAGCAUAGUGAUCAGUUGGUGGAUGUGAAAUCGUUUGCAGAUGACUUGAAUAAAUUAAUAGAAAGAAACUAUCUUCAGUCAUAUGUUCCAUGGACUAUAUAGCCAAAAGAAGUGCAGAUGUAGCUUUCUCUGAUUGAGUAUUUUAUCCAAAUAUACGUAGUAGUAGUGCUAAACGUUUUCAAAAUAUGAGUGGUUUUCAUGCAUUAUUGUGAUGAUAGCUAAUUCUUCUUUUGGUGUUUGCUCGUGGAAGUUGACCAUCAAGUGCUUCUUGUAGCUAAUUCAUUGGUUAUCUUGUUUUGCAGCUAUUUGCUGGUAAUGAAGCAGAUGAAUUUCGUUCAAUUCUAAAACAAGAACGGAUGCCAAAGAUAUUGAUCACGACGUGCCGUUUCAAUUCUACUAGAGUACCAGCAUUUAUAUCAGAGCUUCUUGCGGUGGUUCCAAAUGCACAUUAUUACAAGAGAGGAACCUAUGACUUAAAGAAGAUUGUAGGAUAUGCAAACAACAAGGAUUUCUCAGCUGUUAUAGUAGUCCACACUAACCGCACGGAACCGGAUGCUCUCCUUGUCAUUGGCUUGCCUAAUGGACCUACUGUCCAUUUUAAGCUCUCAAAUCUCGUAUUACGCAAGGAUAUUAAGAAUCAUGGAAAUCCUACUGGUCAUAAGCCUGAGCUGGUGAUGAACAACUUUACAACUCGCUUGGGUCAUCGACUAGGAAGGUACAUCUUUGAAACCAAAGAAACAAAACAGAGUGACUCAAAAGGUACAGCUAAAAAGGCAAAGGAUGCCAAGGGUGAGAACGUCACUGACCAGAGAACUAUUGCCCGUCUUCAGGAGUGUGGUCCUCGCUUCACGCUUAAGCUGAUCAGUCUGAUCAGUCUACAACAUGGAACAUUUGAUACCAAAGGGGGUGAAUAUGAAUUGGUACACAAGCCGGAAAUGGACACUAGCCGGAGGAGGUUUUUCUUAUGAGUUGUUCUGGAUUCAUCUGUCAGAGUUCCGUUUCCUAGCCUAGAAGCAAUUUCGGUGAAGUGGCUUGUUAGCCGGAACUGCAAUAGAUGUAAUGACAGGGUGACGUUUUUAAUCUCCUUGAUUGAAGAUUCAAAUAUUGAUCGAUAUCCAGGUGGCCUAGCUCUGGUUGGAGACAAUAACUCCUCAAUCGAAGAGGUUAAAGCAUAUAUUUGAAUUGGGUGAUUCCCAAAUUCGAAUCCUCUUCCUCGAUUACUUACCAAAAGAAGC